GUCCACGCCCUAAACGAUGGAUACUAGGUGUGGGAGGUAUUGACCCCUUCCGUGCCGAAGCCAACGCGUUAAGUAUCCCGCCUGGGGACUACGGCCGCAAGGUUAAAACUCAAAGGAAUUGACGGGGCCCGCACAAGCAGCGGAGCGUGUGGUUCAAUUCGAUGCGACACGAAGAACCUUACCUAGGCUUGACAUGCAAGUGGUAGUGAAGCGAAAGCAGAACGACCCGCAAGGGAGCUUGCACAGGUGUUGCAUGGCUGUCGU
rnacentral:rRNA from 1 species